rnacentral:rRNA from 1 species
GACGAACGCUGGCGGCGUGCUUAACACAUGCAAGUCGAACGGAAAGGCCCUGCUUUUGUGGGGUGCUCGAGUGGCGAACGGGUGAGUAACACGUGAGUAACCUGCCCUUGACUUUGGGAUAACUUCAGGAAACUGGGGCUAAUACCGGAUAGGAGCUCCUGCUGCAUGGUGGGGGUUGGAAAGUUUCGGCGGUUGGGGAUGGACUGGCGGCUUAUCAGCUUGUUGGUGGGGUAGUGGCUUACCAAGGCUUUGACGGGUAGCCGGCCUGAGAGGGUGACCGGCCACAUUGGGACUGAGAUACGGCCCAGACUCCUACGGGAGGCAGCAGUGGGGAAUAUUGCACAAUGGGCGGAAGCCUGAUGCAGCAGCGCCGCGUGCGGGAUGACGGCCUUCGGGUUGUAAACCGCUUUCGCCUGUGACGAAGCGUGAGUGACGGUAAUGGGUAAAGAAGCACCGGCUAACUACGUG